rnacentral:lncRNA from 1 species
GACUUUGAGAGUUCCGCUUAUGGCUGCAGGGUCAACCAAUUUGUUGUUGGGACCCUGGAGCUGAAUGGCUUUCCUGUCUGUCGAUCCUUGGCUCAGCCCAGAAGUACAGGAAAAGCGGAAGCUGGUUCCAGACAAACCAACGCUCUCAACUCUGAAGAGUCAGGAGUUGUUAGAGAGCCUUUUCUCAGAAAGCCUGACACCCGUGUCUUUAGUCUGGCAUCCAUGCUAGUCACUUUUAACUGGCCAAUAGGUGCCUGGUAUUUAGUCCCCAAAUUCUAAGGAAAAAUAAGACAGAAUAGCAAGCAAAAGGGGUCUGAUGGUACUCACCACUUGGUGAUAGGCGACAGUCCCAUCUGGGUCACCAAAAUAUGUCUGGAAUUGGUUCCUUCCAGUGGGUUCUUGGUCUCACUGACUUCAAGAAUGAAGCCGCGGACCCUCGCACAUGAUUGUGAGGCCUCCCCACCCACAUGGAAUGCUAUGUGAAGAUUGUGCCUGCUUCCUCUUUGCCUUCCACCAUGAUUGGAAGUUUCCUGAGACCUUCCCAGCAGCAGAAGCCUAUACAGUCUGCAGAACUAGUUCCCCAGCUAUCCCCCAGUGGCUUGGAGAUUCCCAUUUCAAGAGUGUAGAGUUCUACCCAGAAGGUGGCUGCGUGGACAGUGACUACAUUCUCAGCUCCAUGCCUAUUUGGAUGGUCUGAGGCCUUCACUCCUCACCCUUCCUGGAUGUGGUUGCGCCAGAGGGGAUGAUUUAGUGAGCAGAUGGUACCAGGAAAACCAAGGGUAUUGCAUCCAGCUGUGUGUACACAGAUUGGUGAAUUCAAGCCUCUGAUCUAGGAUCUGAAAUAAAAAUCAGAAUAAGCGAAAA